rnacentral:rRNA from 1 species
UACGUAGGGGGCAAGCGUUGUCCGGAAUCAUUGGGCGUAAAGCGCGUGUAGGCGGCUCGGUAAGUCUGCUGUGAAAGUCCAGGGCUCAACCCUGGGAUGCCGGUGGAUACUGUCGAGCUCGAGUCCGGAAGAGGCGAGUGGAAUUCCUGGUGUAGCGGUGAAAUGCGCAGAUAUCAGGAGGAACACCAAUGGCGAAGGCAGCUCGCUGGGACGUGGCUGACGCUGAGACGCGAAAGCGUGGGGAGCAAACAGG